GUGACGUCAGUUUGGCGGGGAGUUUGGUGGCCGGGGCUUACAGUGGCGGGAGUUGGAGGCAAUAACGAAUCGUGUUCUGAAGAGCGCAAGCUACGCUUUCUGCCGAACCUGGGGGCAUUUCCACGGCUCUUCCCUCAGUUGAGUCUUCUCUUCCGGCCCAGAUGCUCUUCAAUUCGGUGCUCCGCCAGCCCCAGUUUGGCGUCCCGAAAAAUGGAUGGUCUUCACAAUACCCUCUACAAUCCCUUCUAACUGGUUAUCAGUGCAACAAUAAUGAUGAGCACACUUCUUAUGGAGAAACGGGGGUCCCAGUUCCUCCUUUUGGAUGCACCUUCUCUUCUGCUCCCAAUAUGGAGCAUAUACUAGCAGUUGCCAAUGAAGAAGGCUUCGUUAGAUUAUAUAACACAGAAUCACAAACCAGUAGAAAGAAGUGUAUCAAAGAAUGGAUGGCUCACUGGAAUGCUGUCUUUGACCUGGCCUGGGUCCCUGGUGAACUUAAACUUGUUACUGCAGCAGGUGAUCAGUCAGCCAAAUUUUGGGAUGUAAAAGCUGGCGAGCUCAUUGGAACGUGCAAAGGUCAUCAGUGCAGCCUCAAGUCAGUUGCUUUUUCUAAGUUUGAGAAAGCUGUCUUCUGUACAGGGGGAAGAGACGGCAACAUUAUGGUCUGGGACACCAGGUGCAACAAAAAAGAUGGAUUUUAUAGGCAGGUGAAUCAAAUCAGUGGAGCUCACAAUACCUUAGACAAGCAAACCCCUUCAAAACCCAAGAAGAAACAGAAUUCAAAAGGACUUGCUCCUUCUGUGGAUUUCCAGCAGAGCGUGACUGUGGUCCUCUUUCAAGAUGAGAAUACGUUAGUCUCAGCAGGAGCUGUGGAUGGGAUAAUCAAAAUAUGGGAUUUGCGUAAGAAUUAUACUGCUUAUCGACAAGAACCCAUAGCAUCCAAGUCUUUCCUGUACCCAGGUAGCAGCACUCGAAAACUAGGAUACUCAAGUCUGAUUUUGGAUUCCACUGGCUCUACUCUAUUUGCUAACUGCACAGAUGAUAACAUCUACAUGUUCAAUAUGACUGGAUUAAAGACUUCUCCAGUGGCUGUCUUCAAUGGACAUCAGAACUCUACCUUUUAUGUUAAAUCCAGUCUUAGUCCAGAUGACCAGUUUUUAGUCAGUGGCUCAAGUGAUGAAGCUGCCUACAUCUGGAAGGUCUCCACACCUUGGCAUCCUCCUACUGUGCUCCUGGGUCAUUCUCAAGAGGUCACGUCUGUGUGCUGGUGUCCAUCAGACUUCACAAAGAUUGCUACCUGCUCUGAUGACAAUACACUGAAAAUCUGGCGCUUGAAUAGAGGCUUAGAGGAGAAAUCCGGAGGAGAUAAACUCUCCAUAGUGGGUUGGGCCUCUCAGAAGAAAAAAGAGGCAAGAGCUGACCUAGUAACAGUGACAAGUAGCCAGAGUACUCCUGCCAAAGCCCCCAGAGUAAAGAGCAGUCCGUCCAUUUCCUCCCCAUCAUCAGCAGCUUGUGCUCCAAGCUGUGCUGGAGAUCUCCCUCUUCCUUCAAAUACUCCCACGUUCUCCAUUAAAACCCCUCCUGCCAAGGCCCGGUCUCCCAUCAGCAGAAGAGGCUCCGUCUCCUCGGUCUCUCCCAAGCCGCCUUCAUCUUUCAAGAUGUCCAUUAGAAAUUGGAUGACCCGAACACCUUCUUCAUCACCACCCAUCACUCCACCUGCUUCUGAGACCAAGCUUAUGUCGCCAAGAAAAGCCCUCAUUCCAGUGAGCCUGAAAUCAUCCCAAGCAGUGGCUUGCUCUGAGUCUAGAAAUAGAGUAAAGAGGAGGCUAGACUCAAGUUGUCUGGAGAAUGUGAAACAAAAGUGUGUGAAGAGUUGUAACUGUGUGACUGAGCUUGAUGACCCAGUUGAAAAGCUUCAUUUGGAUCUGUGCUGCCUUGCUGGUAACCAAGAAGACCUUGGUAAGGACUCUCUCGGUCCAACCAAACCCAGCAAGAUUGAAGGAGCUAGUAUGAGUAUCUCAGAGCCUCCUUCUCCUGCCAGUCCUUAUGCUUCAGAAGGCUGUGGAACGUUACCUCUUCCUUUGGGAUCUUGUGGUGAAGGAUCUGAAGUGGUAGGCAAAGAGAAUAGCUCCCCAGAGAAUAAAAACUGGUUAUUGGCCAUGGCAGCCAAACGGAAGGCUGAGAAUUCAUCUCCACGAAGUCCAUCAUCCCAGACCCCCAAUUCUAGAAGACAGAGCGGAAAGACUUCUCCAGGCCCGGUCACCAUUACGCCCAGCUCCAUGAGGAAAAUCUGUACAUACUUCCAUAGAAAAUCUCAAGAUGACUACUGUAGUCCUGAACAGUCAACGGAAUUAUAGAUACUAAUCUGAAAGCCAAGGGCCAGAGGAAAGAGAAGCCCCAUUGCUCUUUAUAGGCAGUGUUUGCACCGGAGUAUCAAGUGAGUUGGAGCAUUAAAGAAAGCUGUUUUGUCCUCACUAGACCUUAACAGUGACCUUCCUCGAGGAGUCAAACUCUGUCCCUCCCACGUACUCACAAGCACAGUGUGAAUCAAGAAGCAGCACGUAUAAAAAGACCUCUCUGAAGACUGAAAGGGAUUGUUCCUGACAAGCCUGCAGAACAGCAGACGGCUUAUAGGGGGGCUGAGCUCUACAUGGGGAAUCUGUCAAGCUGACAAAGGGCCAGUUCUCCCAGGGACAGGAAGUUUGGAAGGUGAACUGCAGGGAAACUCAUUCAGUGAGGACAGAGGAACCACUCUCUUCCCAUUUCCCUUUGACUGUGCCUCCACAGAAGAGCCAGGCAGCUGCCUCAUCCCCAUCUACCCAGGCCUGCAAGCAGGCUCUGCUUCCACCCAUGAAAAGUGGGACUUACUCUCUCACCAUAAACAUCUGAAAAACUGGAUCAAAGAUAUGAAACAACUACUUCCAGACACUGGACAAGAAGCAGUAAUCUUAUAAGUAAGUAGGACUGUGGUCCCUAAGGGAAGGGAAACAAAUGAGGUGAGCCCUCAGUGGUGGAGGCAAUUUUCAGAUUGCUCAGCCCCCCGAUACAGCACCACUGCAAUUUUACAGAUUGUUUGGAAAACCCGAACAGAGCCCCAUGGUCUUGCUGAGUUGAAGAGACAGAGAUUGGAGUUUGGGGAAGCCAGGUCAGCUAGAAUUCGCUAGAUAAACGCCAGAAAGGAGAGAGCUACAUGGAGAAUGAGCUCUGUAUAAGGAGUGGAGUCUUUGGCUGAAUACCAGGCUGUGUGCGCAUAGGAUGACACUUCAUUAGUCCAGGCCUAAGAAAAACUGCCAGGGAAAGAACAAUUACUGAGAAGCUGUAAGCUGAAAAAUUCCUAGAGCUCAUAUGGGGCUGGGAAUCAUUCAAGUUCCCACCAGCCCAAGUAGAGAGACCUUAUUGUAGCAGAGCAUUUUCUAAAGAUGACCCAAUAGCUCUCAUCCCACCUACUCUUCUACAAUGUGACCUUGCUCUUCCCACGUCAAGAGGUAGAGUCUGAUUUCUUCUCCUUUAAUCUAGGAAAGCUUGUGAGUGCUUCUCACAGAUGAAUAUGGUAGUGAUUCUGUGUUGACUUUGAGGCUAAGUUGGAAAGGCUAUGUAGCUUCCAGACACCCAUGUCAUCUAUCACCUCUUCCUCAGCUCACACUUGUGACCGCACAGGGGGGCCCUCAUGAUCAGCUGAUAGAGGAAGAAAAGGCUAGUCUUGGUUCAUGGACUAGUCAAGCCACAAAUGGAUUGGUGCUGCAUUACAGCCCAUCCAGGGGCAGCCCUGAAACACAGGUGAGGGCAAAUCUUCAUAAUAGACAGACCUUUCAUGUAUUUGUCAUUUCCUUGUGAAGAAAGAGAAUAGCCUGAGGUGAAGAAUAUAGAAGAAUUCAUAGUGGUGAAUGGCUUGGCUAUAUUGGUCAGGGGACUAGGGAGAAGAAAGAUUAGAAGAUAAGGGACAAGGAGGUCUGGGGGAGAGACAUGGAUAGACCUAUGGGAGUGGGCAUGAAGUAUGAAGACCACCAGAAGCCAAGCACCCAAAUAGAAUGCCUCCAAACACCCAAAUAGAAUGACUCAGCCAGUUGAUGUCAGAUGGCCUCUGUCAUUGGCCACCUCAGUGCAAACUCCCAAUCACAAAGACUGGUCUAGCUACUGUUGCCACAUACGACCAACCUACCAGGAACAGAAACUGAUGCUCAGCCCCCAAUACAGCACCAUCCUUCAAAGACACAAGCCAGCCACUUGUGGCAAGUUGAUUACGCUGGGCCUUUUUCACCCUGGAAGAGGGAACAAUUUAUCUUGACUGGGAUUAAACAUAUUGCAUUAAAUCAGAAUGGAUCAUGAGCUUACACGUAAAAUGUAAAGCUAUAAAACUUUUAGAAAACAAAACAGGAGAAAAUCUUUGGGCACUAAGGCUAGGCAAAGAGUUCUUUGACUUGAUGCCAAAAGCAUGAUCCAUACAAAGAAAAAUUGAUAAAUUUGACCUCAUCAAAAUUAAAAACUUUUGUUCUGUGAAAGAUCCUGUAAAGAGGAUGAAAAGGCAAACUACAAUUGGGAGAAAGUAUUUUCAAAGCUCAUAUCUGACAAAGAACUAGUAUCUACAAUACAUAAAGAACUCUUAAAACUCCACGGUAAAAAAAAAAUCCAGUUAGGAAAUGGGCAAAAAAUAUGAAGAGCCAUGUUACUGAAGAAGAUACACAGAUGGCAAAUAAGCACGUGGAAAGACAUUCAAUAUCAUUAGCUGUUAGAUAUCACUACACACAUACUAAAAUGAAAAAUAGUGACAACAUCAAAUGCUGGUGAGGAUGUGGAAAAACAGGAUCACUCACACAUUGCUGGUGGGAAUGUAAAAUGGUGCAGCCACACUGGGAAACAGUUUGACAGUUUUUUAUAAAACUAAGCAUACAAUUACCCAGCAAUUGCACUCUUGGGCAUUUAUCCCAGAGAAAAGUAAGACUUAUUGUCACACAAGAACCUGUACACAAAUGUUCACAGAAGCUUUAUUCAUUACAGCCAAAAAACUGGAAACAGCCCAGAUGUCCUUCACUGAGUGAAUGGUUACACUAACUGGUACAUUCAUACCACCGAAUACUCGGUAAUAAAAAGGAAUGAACUAUUGAUGAAUGCGGCCUGGAUGAACCUUCAGGGAAUUAUGCUGAGUGAAAAAAGCCAUUUCCAAAAGGUUAUGUACUGUAUGACUCCAUUUAUAAAACAUUUUUGAAAUGACAAAAUUUUAGAAAUGGAAAACAGAUUAAUGUUUGUUAGGGUUUAGAGAUAGGGGAAGGGAGGGAGAGGCAAGUGUGGUUAUAAAAGGCCAACACAGGGAUCCUUGUAAGGAUGGAACUGUUCUGUAUCUUCACUGUGUGGUGGAUACACAAACCUAUACCUGUGAUAAAAUUGUAUAGAACUAAGCGUAUGCACACACACACACAAAUGAGUACAAGUAAAAUUGGGGCAAUCUGGGUGGUAUCACUGUCCAUAUCCUGGUUGUGACAUUGUACUAUAGUUUUGCAAGAUGUACCAUUGAGAGAAACUGGGUAAAAGAGUACAUGGGACCUCUGUUUUAACUUUUACAACUGCAUGUGCAUUUACAAUUAUCAAAUACAGAUUUAACUUAACAAGAAUA